rnacentral:rRNA from 1 species
AACGAACGCUGGCGGCAUGCCUAACACAUGCAAGUCGAACGCCCUCUUCGGAGGGAGUGGCGCACGGGUGCGUAACGCGUGGGAACCUGCCCUUAGGUUCGGAAUAACUCAGAGAAAUUUGAGCUAAUACCGGAUAAUGUCUUCGGACCAAAGAGUUAUCGCCUUUGGAUGGGCCCGCGUUGGAGUAGUUAGUUGGUAGGGUAAAGGCCUACCAAGGCGGCGAUCCAUAGCUGGUCUUAGAGGAUGAUCAGCCACACUGGGACUGAGACACGGCCCAGACUCCUACGGGAGGCAGCAGUGAGGAAUAUUGGACAAUGGGCGAAAGCCUGAUCCAGCAAUGCCGCGUGAGUGAUGAAGGCCUUAGGGUUGUAAAGCUCUAUUACCAGGGAUGAUAAUGACAGUACCUGGAGAAUAAGCUCCGGCUAACUCCGUGCCAGCCGCCGCAGUAAAAC